UACAGAGGGUGCGAGCGUUGUCCGGAAUCACUGGGCGUAAAGGGCGCGUAGGUGGCGGCAUAAGGCCGCGGUGAAAGUUCGGGGCUCAACCCUGAAUCGGCCGCGGCGACUGUGUCGCUUGGGCACCGUAGAGGCAGAUGGAAUUCCGGGUGUAGCGGUGGAAUGCGUAGAGAUCCGGAAGAACACCAGUGGCGAAGGCGGUCUGCUGGGCGGUGGGUCCGCGAGGAUCCAAUAGCCGACACUGAGGCGCGACAGCGUGGGGAGCAAACAGG
rnacentral:rRNA from 1 species